rnacentral:sRNA from 2 species
GGAAGAUUCGAACCUGCCGCAGGUUCGGGUCUCACGUAGUGAGACAACGGAGCCGCUUGCGGCGACGGCCCGAAGGGCGAGCAAAGCGAGUCAUCCUGCACGACCCACCA